CGGGCCGUAGCGCAGUCUGGUAGCGCACUUCGCUGGGGGUGAAGGGGUCGGGAGUUCGAAUCUCCCCGGCCCGACCA
rnacentral:tRNA from 2 species